rnacentral:lncRNA from 1 species
AGCCAAAAGAAACCAUCUUAGGGUACCAUGUGAUGUUGUUUGCUUUGACUGAGGUUAACUAAAAUGAAAGAUCUCUCUGAACAUGGACCGUUCAAAAUCCUCCAAGUUAUUUACAUGUACACGUGAAAAAGGAAAUGUGGUGUUUACAAGGGUGGGAGAAGCUGCCAAAAAUAGCAAGCCAAGAAUUUGUCCAUGUUAUUUCUGGGAUGGCACCAGAAGAUGACAUCAGAGAAGAGAAAAAAGCAAGCAGUGUGAGAAGGGGAAGGAGGAUCAAAAGACAAGAACCCCUUAGUAGAAGGAAUCAGUGGAAAUGGGAGUCCAGAAGGUUUCUUAGUGUAAGCAAG